UGGAUUCAGCGGCGGACGGGUGAGUAAUGCCUAGGAAUCUGCCUGGUAGUGGGGGAUAACGUCCGGAAACGGGCGCUAAUACCGCAUACGUCCUGAGGGAGAAAGUGGGGGAUCUUCGGACCUCACGCUAUCAGAUGAGCCUAGGUCGGAUUAGCUAGUUGGUGGGGUAAAGGCCUACCAAGGCGACGAUCCGUAACUGGUCUGAGAGGAUGAUCAGUCACACUGGAACUGAGACACGGUCCAGACUCC
rnacentral:rRNA from 1 species